rnacentral:rRNA from 1 species
GACGAACGCUGGCGGCGUGCUUAACACAUGCAAGUCGAACGAUGAAGCGGUGCUUGCGCCGUGGAUUAGUGGCGAACGGGUGAGUAAUGCGUGAGUGACCUGCCCCCUUCUUCGGGAUAAGCCUUGGAAACGGGGUCUAAUACUGGAUAUUCCCUUCCUUCUGCAUGGUUGGUGGGGGAAAGUUUUUUCGGUGGGGGAUGGGCUCGCGUCCUAUCAGCUUGUUGGUGGGGUGAUGGCCUACCAAGGCGUCGACGGGUAGCCGGCCUGAGAGGGUGACCGGCCACACUGGGACUGAGAUACGGCCCAGACUCCUACGGGAGGCAGCAGUGGGGGAUAUUGCACAAUGGGCGCAAGCCUGAUGCAGCGACGCCGCGUGAGGGAUGACGGCUUUCGGGUUGUAAACCUCUUUUACUAUCGAACAAGGCACAGUCUUUUGUUGUGUUGAGGGUAGGUGGUGAAUAAGCGCCGGCUAACUAC